rnacentral:rRNA from 1 species
ACGGAGGGUGCAAGCGUUACUCGGAAUCACUGGGCGUAAAGAGCAUGUAGGCGGAUAGAAAAGUCAGAAGUGAAAUCCUAUAGCUCAACUAUAGAACUGCUUUUGAAACUCUUUAUCUAGAAUAUGGGAGAGGUAGAUGGAAUUUCUGGUGUAGGGGUAAAAUCCGUAGAGAUCAGAAGGAAUACCGAUUGCGAAGGCGAUCUACUGGAACAUUAUUGACGCUGAGAUGCGAAAGCGUGGGGAGCAAACAGG